rnacentral:rRNA from 1 species
GACGAACGCUGGCGGCGUGCUUAACACAUGCAAGUCGAACGGAAAGGCCCUGCUUUUGUGGGGUGCUCGAGUGGCGAACGGGUGAGUAACACGUGAGUAACCUGCCCUUGACUUUGGGAUAACUUCAGGAAACUGGGGCUAAUACCGGAUAGGAGCUCCUGCUGCAUGGUGGGGGUUGGAAAGUUUCGGCGGUUGGGGAUGGACUCGCGGCUUAUCAGCUUGUUGGUGGGGUAGUGGCUUACCAAGGCUUUGACGGGUAGCCGGCCUGAGAGGGUGACCGGCCACAUUGGGACUGAGAUACGGCCCAGACUCCUACGGGAGGCAGCAGUGGGGAAUAUUGCACAAUGGGCGGAAGCCUGAUGCAGCAACGCCGCGUGCGGGAUGACGGCCUUCGGGUUGUAAACCUCUUUCGCCUGUGACGAAGCGUGAGUGACGGUAAUGGGUAGAGAAGCACCGGCUAACUACGUG